AUUUGUGUUCUCUACAUUUUCCUGAGGUCCCAGGGAUGCCGUGACUACUAAGCUCUAUGGUAGGAGUUGGGGCAGGAGGAAACAACUUUAGAAGACACCUGUGUGUCCCUCCCUGCUUGCAUCUAGCUUCUUCGUCUGCCCAGGUGGACUGCUCUUACCGUUGCAGAGCCCUGUGCAGUGGUCCAAGUGACCAGGAGUCAAAGCUCCCAGCCAAUAGCCAGCACUAACUUGUCAGCAGUGUCAUGGAGCCCACUUGAAAGAGGAUUCUAAUUAUGCUGCCCAAGCUGUGGCCACAUGGAGGAGAGAUAUACAGUCCCUGCUGAACCCUGCUCUAAUUACAGGGAGACUUGAAAACCAGUGGUGGCGAGACUCCAAGACUAUUAUUUUUAUUUCCGGACAAAAACAUCUGCUUCACACAGUGCACGGCAUCAAAUGAAGAGGAAAGAACUUGUAUC
rnacentral:lncRNA from 10 species